AACGAACGCUGGCGGCAGGCUUAACACAUGCAAGUCGAACGGUUGUAGCAAUACAGCAGUGGCGCACGGGUGAGUAACGCGUGGAUAUCUGCCUUUUGGUUCGGAAUAACUCCGGGAAACUGGAGCUAAUACCGGAUGGUUCCCUGCGGGAUAAAGAUUUAUCGCCAAAAGAUGAGUCCGCGUACGAUUAGCUAGUUGGUGAGGUAAUGGCUCACCAAGGCGACGAUCGUUAGCUGGUCUGAGAGGACGAUCAGCCACACUGGGACUGAGACACGGCCCAGACUCCUACGGGAGGCAGCAGUGGGGAAUAUUGGACAAUGGGGGCAACCCUGAUCCAGCCAUGCCGCGUGAGUGAUGAAGGCCUCGGGUUGUAAAGCUCUUUUGGCGGGGACGAUGAUGACGGUACCCGCAGAAUAAGCCCCGGCUAACUUCGUGCCAGCAGCCGCGGUAAU
rnacentral:rRNA from 1 species